CGCCUACGGGACGCAGCAGUGGGGAAUAUUGGGCAAUGGGCGCAAGCCUGACCCAGCAACGCCGCGUGAAGGAAGAAGGCUUUCGGGUUGUAAACUUCUUUUAUUGAGGACGAAACAAAUGACGGUACUCAAUGAAUAAGCCACGGCUAACUACGUGCCAGCAGCCGCGGUAAUACGUAGGUGGCAAGCGUUAUCCGGAUUUACUGGGUGUAAAGGGCGUGUAGGCGGGAAAGCAAGUCAGAUGUGAAAACCACGGGCUCAACCUGUGGCCUGCAUCUGAAACUGUUUUUCUUGAGUACUGGAGG
rnacentral:rRNA from 1 species